CUGCAGCCCGAGUGGUGUUCGAUUUUAUUGAGCCUAAAGCGUCCGUAGCCGGACUAGUAAACCCUUGGGUAAAUUGGGCAGCUUAACUGUCCAAAUUCCGAGGGGACUGCUAGUCUUGGGACCGGGAGAGGUCAGAGGUACUCAAGGGGUAGGGGCUAAAUCCUGUAAUCCUUUGGGGACCACCAGUGGCGAAGGCGUCUGACUAGAACGGAUCCGACGGUAAGGGACGAAACCCUGGGGCGCGAACCGGAUUAGAUACCCGAGUAGUCC
rnacentral:rRNA from 1 species